UGAGGAUGCUUGGCUUGAGGAUCUGG
rnacentral:piRNA from 1 species